rnacentral:rRNA from 1 species
CCCUGCCCUUUGUACACACCGCCCGUCGCUACUACUGAUUGGAUGAUUAAGCAAGUAACGAUGAAGCACGCUACUGAGGCCUCUGGUUUCUGGUAGUUUGUGGAAUUGUAACGAGCUUAACUGUCUAG